GACGGGGGCCCGCACAAGCGGUGGAGCAUGUGGUUCAAUUCGACGCAACGCGAAGAACCUUACCUGGGUUUGACAUCCGCUGACCGUCCUGGAGACAGGAUUUUCCCCGCAAGGGGACAGCGAGACAGGUGCUGCAUGGCUGUCGUCAGCUCGUGUCGUGAGAUGUUGGGUUAAGUCCCGCAACGAGCGCAACCCUCAUCCUUAGUUGCCAGCAUUGAGUUGGGCACUCUAAGGAAACUGCCUCGGUUAACGGGGAGGAAGGUGGGGAUGACGUCAAGUCCUCAUGGCCUUUAUGUCCAGGGCUACACACGUGCUACAAUGGACGGUAUAAAGGGUUGCAAUGCCGCGAGGUGGAGCUAAUCCCAAAAAGCCGUUCUCAGUUCGGAUUGGAGUCUGCAACUCGACUUCAUGAAGUCGGAAUCGCUAGUAAUCGCGGAUCAGAACGCCGCGGUGAAUACGUUCUCGGGGUUU
rnacentral:rRNA from 1 species